UUGAAUUAAUGAUUUUAUCGUACCAAGAUUUUAAUAACAUAUAAAAUCCGAAUGAUAUCUUUUCACAACUAGCAACAAGGAACUCUACUUUACAAACGUCAAAAUUUGAUUUGCUUCUGUCAAAAAUCUUAUUAGCCCCUGGGCUACUCAAAAAAUUAUUCACCACCUAAAAGUCAUAUUUUUACAAACUCUACAACUUUGCUAUCAAUCAGCACACAGCCUAAGUUCUUCAUUGAGUGGAAAUUUUACAUUCACUUAACGCGUGGACAAAACGUUUUUUAACUUGGGCCAACGUGAUAAAAAAAAAAGAAUUUUCGUUGCAUUUUCGUUCAUUGUCCUUAAAUAAAUUGUUAGCAAAAAUAGGUAUUCUCUUUUGUGAUAACACUACGCAAACAACACAAUUUAUUAAAAUAAUGCUGGUGGUGAAACAUAUGAUAGGAGAUUUGUCUUUUUAUUGCAAAAACACUUUUUUGAGGAUUUCUACAAUGAGGGUAACAAUGUUUUGUUAAAACUUUCCACAGAGAACGAUCUUAUAUAACAAAACUUUACAUAAUAUUUAUGAACAAAAUGUAAUGAACCCCGAUCAUUACAUUUAUGAAGGAAAAUUCUCUCUAUGUAUGGAAAAGUUUUUCUUUUAAUUGUUGUCGUUUUUGAGUCAGUGAAGUAAAAACUGUAAAAAAAGCAUCCCAAGCUGACUAUCGCCUGUACGAAGCGUUAAUACUUGGUAAAUAAAUUGCAAAUUGAAGCCGUCUAUCAAUGGAUCAAGAUUUAUACAAAAGGCAGCUGAGUACAAAUUUUUCACGCGAAGUUCCCAAUUGACAAAAAGUGCACUCAAUAUUUUUGUCUGCUACUACCUUUAAAUGAAUUUAUCUUGCGUAGUACCACCCUUUAUUUGUAUAAAAGUUUUGCGGAAUUUUUUUUUUUUGAUAAUACGAAAUGCACGCUACCUCGCUUAUUAAUUUAUUUUGCAGACAUAUCCGAAAUGUUGUAAGCAAAUACAAGAGAAAAAUAUUCUAGAGCUAAUGUA